AGAUUUUUCCCAUAGCAUUAAUUUAAACUUUAGAGUAAUUCAAAUAAGGUACAGCCUAUUUGAAACAGGACACAACCUCCAACAGCGGGUAAUUAUAAUUUAUUAAACCAAGUAGGCCUAAAAGCAGCCACCUUAAAAGAGCGUCAAAGCCUGAUUCCCCCCCCCUUCUUCUAAUGCCUUCGCUAAUCCAGAACCCCUCACCCAUACUGAGUACUUCUAUAUUAUUAUAGAAACUUUUAUGUUAAAACUAGUAACAAGAAAACCUUCUCUUAAAUGUGAGUGUAAAUCAGAAUGGACCUCCCACUGAUAUUUAUUCAACAACUAGCAGCACCUCUUCCCAGUAAACCCUGCUUUUUUAACUGUUAACCUAACACCAGAACAUUUCAAGAAAGAUUAAACGAAAAAGAAGGAACUCGGCAAAUACUUAUCCCGCCUGUUUACCAAAAACAUCGCCUCUUGUCUUAAAUAAGAGGUCUAGCCUGCCCAGUGACUUUAGUUCAACGGCCGCGGUAUACUGACCGUGCAAAGGUAGCGUAAUCACUUGUUUUUUAAAUGAAGACUAGUAUGAAAGGCACCACGAGGAUCAAACUGUCUCCUUUUUCUAAUCUGUGAAACUAAUCUUCCCGUGAAAAAACGGGAAUCUUGAUAUAAGACGAGAAGACCCUAUGGAGCUUCAAACUAUAGUAACUGCUUUAUAAUAUUUUGUACAUCUUUACUGUACGUUUUGGGUUGGGGUGACCGCGGAGUAAAACUUAUCCUCCAUGCUGAAAAGAGACCUCCUUUAAACAAAGAGCUUCAACUCGAUGCAUCAACAAAUUGACAGCAAUUGACCCAUUUUUGAUCAACGAAACAAGUUACCCUAGGGAUAACAGCGCAAUCCACUUUGAAAGCCCCUAUCGACAAGUGGGUUUACGACCUCGAUGUUGGAUCAGGAUAUCCAAGUGGUGCAGCCGCUACUAAAGGUUCGUUUGUUCAACGAUUUAAAUCCUACGUGAUCUGAGU
rnacentral:rRNA from 1 species